UACGGGAGGCAGCAGUGGGGAAUCUUAGACAAUGGGCGCAAGCCUGAUCUAGCCAUGCCGCGUGAGUGAUGAAGGCCUUAGGGUCGUAAAGCUCUUUCGCUGGGGAAGAUAAUGACUGUACCCAGUAAAGAAACCCCGGCUAACUCCGUGCCAGCAGCCGCGGUAAUACGGAGGGGGUUAGCGUUGUUCGGAAUUACUGGGCGUAAAGCGCGCGUAGGCGGACUGGAAAGUUGGGGGUGAAAUCCCGGGGCUCAACCUCGGAACUGCCUUCAAAACUCCCAGUCUUGAGUUCGAGAGAGGUGAGUGGAACUCCGAGUGUAGAGGUGAAAUUCGUAGAUAUUCGGAAGAACACCAGUGGCGAAGGCGGCUCACUGGCUCGAUACUGACGCUGAGGUGCGAAAGUGUGGGGAGCAAACAGGAUUAGAUACCCUGGUAGUCCACACCGUAAACGAUGAAUGCCAGUCGUCGGCAAGCAUGCUUGUCGGUGACACACCUAACGGAU
rnacentral:rRNA from 1 species